rnacentral:rRNA from 1 species
UACGUAGGGGGCAAGCGUUGUCCGGAAUUAUUGGGCGUAAAGAGCUCGUAGGCGGUCUGUCGCGUCUGCUGUGAAAACUCGGGGCUUAACCCCGGGCCUGCAGUGGGUACGGGCAGACUAGAGUGCGGUAGGGGAGACUGGAAUUCCUGGUGUAGCGGUGAAAUGCGCAGAUAUCAGGAGGAACACCGAUGGCGAAGGCAGGUCUCUGG